CACGUAGGCGGCUUUGUAAGUUAGAGGUGAAAGCCCGGAGCUCAACUCCGGAAUUGCCUUUAAGACUGCAUCGCUCGAAUCAUGGAGAGGUGAGUGGAAUUCCGAGUGUAGAGGUGAAAUUCGUAGAUAUUCGGAAGAACACCAGUGGCGAAGGCGACUCACUGGACAUGUAUUGACGCUGAGGUGCGAAAGCGUGGGGAGCAAACA
rnacentral:rRNA from 1 species